rnacentral:lncRNA from 1 species
UAUAGGAAUUAUUAGGGUUUGGUUUAGGGUUUGGUUAGAAUUUGGUUUGGAGUUUAGGAUUUGGAUUAGGAUUUGAUUUAGGAUUUAGGGUUUGGAUUAGGAUUUGAUUUAGAGUUUAGGAUUUAGAUUAGGAUUUGAUUUAGAAUUUAGGAUUUGGAUUAUGGUUUGAUUUAGGAUUUAGGAUUUGAUUAGGGUUUGGUUUAGGGUUUAGGAUUUGGAUAGGGUUUGAUUUAGGAUUUCGAAUUUGGAUUAUGAUUUGAUUUAGGGUUUAGGAUUUGGAUUAGAAUUUGGUUAGAAUUUGAUUUAGAAUUUAAGAUUUAGUUUAGGAUUUGGUUAGGAUUUGAUUUAGGAUAUGAUUGGGGUUUGAUUUAGGAUUUAGGAUUUUAUUAGGAUUUAAGAUUCAAUUAGUUUUGGCCUAAAGUUUGAAUGAAGUUCAAUAGGAUUUUAACUAGAAUUAAAUUAAGAUUGAAUUGAGAUGUAUUUGAAUGACAUUUGUGUUUUUUUCAAUGUUUCUUUAAAAAUUCCUAUUGUUUCUUUGAAAUUUCUUUGAGGUUUUUUUGAAUUUGAUUAAGCUUGUUUAGCAUUAUUAUAGUCUAAUUAGAUUAUUUUUAGUAUUCUAUUAGAAUUAGGAUUUUGUUAUUGCAAUUUCUAUUCUUCCUUCCAGAGCUAGGUAUCUGGAGCAUUCUCAAGCAAGACUUCACGUAUUACGACACGGUUUCUUUAGAUGUAACAAUUAAAGAUCAUAAA